UACCGACUGGCCUACUAGGUGAGGGCGCGGGGCUUUGGACUCCGAAGGCUUGGUUCGAAUCCAAGGUCGGUAGCCA
rnacentral:tRNA from 1 species